rnacentral:rRNA from 1 species
GGCCAGACUCCUACGGGAGGCAGCAGUCGGGAAUAUUGCGCAAUGGAGGAAACUCUGACGCAGUGACGCCGCGUAUAGGAAGAAGGUUUUCGGAUUGUAAACUAUUGUCGUUAGGGAAGAUAAAAGACUGUACCUAAGGAGGAAGCCCCGGCUAACUACGUGCCAGCAGCCGCGGUCAUACGUAGGAUCCGAGCAUUAUCCGGAGUGACUGGGUGUAAAGAGUUGCGUAGGUGGCAUAAUAAGUAGCUAGUGAAAUCUGGUGGCUCAACCAUUCAGACUAUUAGCUAAACUGUUAAGCUCGAGACCGUUAGGGGUAACUGGAAUUUCUAGUGUAGGAGUGAAAUCCGUAGAUAUUAGAAAGAACACCGAUAGCGUAGGCAGGUUACUGGGACGGUUCUGACACUAAGGCACGAAAGCGUAGGGAGCAAACGGGAUUAGAUACCCUCGUAGA